rnacentral:snRNA from 1 species
AUGAUCUGGCUCCAGUGCAUUUAACCGAGAAAACCUUUCACCUUGUACUAAAGAUUUCCUUGUAUUGGAGCAAUUAUGAGUAUUCACCAUCGUGUUAGUUUCCAUAAAGUAUCGAAAC